rnacentral:misc_RNA from 1 species
GAUAAGAACGUAGUGAAAUGCGAUAAGUAAUGUGAAUUGCAGAAUUCAGUGAAUCAUCGAAUCUUUGAACGCACAUUGCGCCCCCUGGUAUUCCGGGGGGCAUGCCUGUUCGAGCGUCAUUUCACCACUCAAGCCUCGCUUGGUAUUGGGCAACGCGGUCCGCCGCGUGCCUCAAAUCGACCGGCUGGGUCUUCUGUCCCCUAAGCGUUGUGGAAACUAUUCGCUAAAGGGUGUUCGGGAGGCUACGCCGUAAAACAACCCCAUUUCUAAGGUUGACCUCGGAUCAGGUAGGGAUACCCGCUGAACUUAAGCAUAUCAAUAAGCGGAGGA